AGGCAUGACUACAGGCAGGGGCGACCAGCACAGCGUUCCUGUGCCAGGAUCCACCUUGGGAUACACCAAACAUCAAGUCCUCCCCUGAAGCAUGGAGCCAAGCCACUAAUGAAGUCAGAAAACACAUGCUCCCAGGAUUUCAAAAGUCCACAGAAUGAACAACACCAAGAGUGAACCCUAACAUAAACUAUGGACUUCAGUUAAUAAUAUCGCAUUGAUAUUGGCUCAUCCAUUGUAACAAGUGCACCAUACCUGGCUGUGUGGAUGUUGAUGCCAGAGGCCAGGAAAAAAACAAGAUACAAUGCCCAAACAGCUCUCGUGGCACCCAUGAACAAGCACAGCCUCUCAGGGAGCAAGAUAUUUGGAAUUCCAAACUUCCCAGUAAUUAUACAUAACUCAUUCUGCUUCCU